UAAUAUAUUCCACUCCCGAUAAGUCUCUACUUUGAGGGAACCCCUAAGCUUUCAGUGCUGAGUGCCAGCAAUCACCGGUGACUACUUCCUCUGAUCGGCGACAACUGUCGGCCACUGAUUGCCCAGGUCCUCAAUCAGAGUCUGCAUGAAAAUUUAUGCCCUAAUCAAGAAGCUUGUGCCUUGUGCUACUGCACCUAAAAGCCUUGGCCCAGUCCAAGAAAGCAAAGCACAGACUUAGACAGCCUGCUCUUGUUCCUGCAGCUUAUGCCAAGGUGAUGAAGAAGCUCUACUUCUGUGCUUAAAACAUUGGGAGCCCUCUCCAAAUUCUGACAAUUCCUGGUUGAAGCUAUUGCACAAUUUUGUGUUUCCUUCUUUUUGCUUUAAGGUUGGGGUUUUCUUUGGCCAAGUCUGGUGAUGCUUUAAUAUGAUCUUAUCACAUACUUUGAUGCCAAGAUCAAUCUUCUCAAGCUAGUGCUGUUUCAUGAUUUCUCAGAAGUAUGCAUAUAAAGAAACUGUGGUGUUUUUUUUUUAAGUGGUGAUUGAAAAACUCAAAGCUAUUAGAGAGAUUGUGUAUCGAGUGGCCAAUCCUAUAUAUCAAGAUGCAAAAGAGGACCAGAAAGAGUGAAAGGAACUUUUGGAAAUGGGGAAGACUACUCUUUACACCAUGACUGAUAUCGAUCUGUCAAUAUAUGCUUGCUACCAUUGGUUCUUAUUCCAAUGCCAUAAAUAUCAUCAGGAAUUUGAAGUCCUAUAGAAGUGGUGGCUUACACUUUAGUGGAGUUCUUCUCAGAGAAUGUUUAAACUGGUCAAGAGUUUACUGGGGACAAGGGCAGAGUGACUCUACCAUAUUCUCAAAGCAUUCAAUAUUAGUUUGCUAUUGAACCUUGCAAAAUUCAUAAAGAUGCUCUCAGUGUUCAGCUAGCAUUAAUAGAGAAUGAUAAGAAGCUAUCAGAGAAGAUCAACAUUCUGUGCUUGAUGGAACUUAUCUUCAGCCAUCCAUUGAAGAUUGCUCUACAUAUCAUUGCUGAGAGCAUGAAACUUUCCAUAGCAAAUGUGGAGUAUUUUCUUAUGAAGAGCCUUUUGGUAUCCUCUGUUGAUUCUUUGAAUUAGGAGGCCAUAAAAUGCAAGUAAGCAUUCAUGGGUGGUACGAAAGGACAAUACACCAAUGAAGUGGCCACCAAGUUGUUGAUGUAUCCGUGAAGGUAGUCUAGAAAACACAACAUCAAAGGAGUGGCUACAAAACUUUGAAUGAAAUUUGGAGUACCCCCUUUAGUUUCAGAAAGGAAACAUUUGGACUAUGGAUUGUGGAGAAAUGCGAGUUUUAAACUGCACUUACGGGACAACAGCUGCAUCAGCAAUUGAUGGGUGACUCACCAGAAGGGCCUCAAGCUCAGCAGGCGGUACCUGAAUGAAAAAUAGGUACGUUAUAAUCCAGCGCUACUUCAAUGGCAAUGUAGCAUACAAGUGUAUUAUACAAAAGGAGUUUGCAAUAAAAAUAACCCUCUUUUAAAAAAAAUUCUCAAUCUACAUUGCUUUAGAAAAUAUUCACCAAACUAGUGCAUCUUUGCUACAUCAACAUCUAUAUAUUUUUAUUUUUUAUUUUUUUCAUGUCAAAACCAGAGUCAUUGACAGUGGUUUUAACAUGAAAAAUAAAAAAAUAAAGUGAACGAUGAUGUACUAGAAGACUAAUUUGGUGAAUAUUUUCAAAAACAUUCUAGAUUUAGAAUUUUUUUUUUAAAAUUUUUUUGGAAAAGGAUUAGUUUUAAGGUAACCUCCUUCAAAAGUAAAGGACCUGACUACUCUACAAAAUCGUUCAACAAUGUUGAUGACCCUAAAAAUUAAGGUAACGUUUUAGUGUUAGCAUGUAAUUAUACUAGUAUAGGGAAGGUAAGCGAUCCUUGUACUUUUUGUUGCAUUUCAAUGUCAAUGACCCUAAAACUUAAGGUAACCAUAACUACAUGUUAUAGGAACCCAAAUGAUGUCGAUGACCCUAAUCAAUAAGGUAAACUUCUAGUGUUAAUGUGUAGAGGGAGGGAAGAUAAGGUAUCGUUUUGGAGUUAAUAUGUAAUAUUGUAACUAUACUAUUGAUGAAAUGCAGUCUACCUUCAUACUUCUCAUUGCGAUUCGAUAUUGAUCGGUAAUCCUAAGAAGGCAAUCUUUUAGUGUUAGUAUUUAACUACAUUAUUGUAGAGAUGGUAGCUAACUUACUACCUUUUAGGCACUUCAACAUUAAUCGAUGACCCUAAUGAGGUAACUUUUAUGGCAUGUUUGGAACAUUGGAAUAUGGAAUGAAAAGGAGAGUGGGACAUCCAUUCCAUUUCUCAUUUAUUACUGAAUUUGGAUUACUUGUUAGAAUGACAAUAGGGGAAAAAAAUUUACUAUCACGGAAACCAAAACCUACUCGUAUUAGGAUUUUGAUUCGUCUCUUUUCACAUGGUAUUUUGAUUCACCUUUAUUCUUAUUUAUAUUAUCAUUUCUAUUCUUGUAUGUGAAACAUACUUUUCAGAAAUGUUUGACAUAUGGGUAUAAAAGUGGAAAUAGGAUAUGAAUAAAGGUAAAUUACGAUACCAUGUGGAAAAGAGGAAUCAGAAUCCUAAUAAGAGUAAAAUUUGAUUUCCGCAACAAUUAAUUUUUUGUUCUUAUUCCCAUUUAGAAGAACAAUUCGAACAUGUUAAUGAAUAGGAAUUGAAUUGAUUUCCCAUUUCCAUUAUCUAUUCCACCGUUCCAAACUUCCUCUUGGUGUCAACAUAUGAUGUUCUUCUACGAAAUAGUAGGAUAGUAAUUGAAGGGGAAAAUGGAGCAUAAGAAUACAUGCCUGGAAGCCUUUGAAUUUGAUGAGUUCUUUCACUCUAUCUACGAUGAACACCUCUUCAUCAUCGUCAACAUAGCCAAUGUCACCGGUGUGUAGCCAACCGUCAACAUCGAUGGUAGAGGCCGUGGCCUCGGGAUCGUUCAAGUAUCCUAUAAUACAGGUAUUAUAGUUAAAAUGAUGAAUGAGCAUGCAUGGAGUUGCUUCAAUUGUUCAUUUUCUAUCAUAGUAGCUGAACGCUUUUCUCAGUAGUCAAACCUUUCAUAAUCUGUUGUCCUCGAAUGCAGAUCUCGCCCGGUUGGUUGCGGCCGAGGGAGCAACCGGUCUCAGGGUCGACGACCUUGAGCUCAGCAUUGCGGACAACGGUGCCGCACGAGCCGGACUUAGUAGGAAAGGGCUGCUUGGCGAAGGCUAGGCACAUCGAUAACACCGGUCCGGCCUCUGUCAUUCCAUAACCCUACACAUAAAAGCUUAUUAUUUUAUUAAUUUUAUUUUAAUAAAAUAAUAUUUUUAAAAUUUUGUUUAA